rnacentral:rRNA from 1 species
AUACGAAGGGGGCUAGCGUUGUUCGGAAUUACUGGGCGUAAAGCGCACGUAGGCGGAUAUUUAAGUCAGGGGUGAAAUCCCAGGGCUCAACUCUGGAACUGCCUUUGAUACUGGGUAUCUUGAGUAUGGAAGAGGUAAGUGGAAUUCCGAGUGUAGAGGUGAAAUUCGUAGAUAUUCGGAGGAACACCAGUGGCGAAGGCGGCUUACUGGUCCAUUACUGACGCUGAGGUGCGAAAGCGUGGGGAGCAAACAGGAUUAGAUACCCCGGUAGUCC